rnacentral:rRNA from 1 species
GACGAACGCUGGCGGCGUGCUUAACACAUGCAAGUCGAACGGAAAGGCCCUGCUUUUGUUGGGUGCUCGAGUGGCGAACGGGUGAGUAAAACGUGAGUAAACUGCACUUGACUUUGGGAUAACUUCAGGAAACUGGGGCUAAUACCGGAUAGGAGCUCCUGAUGCAUGGUGGUGGAUGGAAAGUUUCGGCGGUUGGGGAUGGACUAGCGGCUUAUCAGCUUGUUGGUUGGGUAGUGGCUGACGAAGGCUUUGACGGGUAGCCGGCCUGAGAGGGUGACCGGCGACAAUGGGACUGAGAGACGGCCCAGACUCCUACGGGAGGCAGCAGUGGGGAAUAUGGCACAGUGGGCGGAAGCCUGAUGCAGCAACGCCGCGUGCGUGAUGACGGCCUUCGGGUUGUAAACCGCUUUCGCCGGUGACGAAGCGUGAGUGACGGUAAUGGGUAAAGAAGCACCGGCUAACUACGUG